rnacentral:rRNA from 1 species
UACGUAGGGGGCAAGCGUUAUCCGGAUUUACUGGGUGUAAAGGGAGCGUAGACGGAAAGGCAAGUCAGAAGUGAAAGCCCAAGGCUCAACCAUGGGACUGCUUUUGAAACUGUCAAACUAGAGUACGGGAGAGGUAAGAGGAAUUCCUAGUGUAGCGGUGAAAUGCGUAGAUAUUAGGAGGAACACCAGUGGCGAAGGCGUCUUACUGGACCGAAACUGACGCUGAGGCACGAAAGCGUGGGGAUCAAACAGG